rnacentral:rRNA from 1 species
UACGAGGGGGGCAAGCGUUGUUCGGAAUUAUUGGGCGUAAAGGGUGCGUAGGCGGCCUGACAAGUCUGAUGUGAAAUCUAUGGGCUCAACCCAUAGCCUGCAUCGGAAACUGUCGGGCUUGAGUAUGGGAGAGGUGAGUGGAACUGCGAGUGUAGAGGUGAAAUUCGUAGAUAUUCGCAAGAACACCAGUGGCGAAGGCGGCUCACUGGCCCGAUACUGACGCUGAGGCACGAAAGCGUGGGGAGCAACAGG